rnacentral:rRNA from 1 species
UGCGAUUAAGUAAUGAAGGGCGCACGGUGGAUGCCUUGGCACCAAGAGCCGAUGAAGGACGGAACCAACACCGAUAUGCUCUGGGGAGCUGUAAGUAAGCGUUGAACCAGAGAUUUCCGAAUGGGGGAACCCCGCACGUUAGUGCGACUGUCCGGUGAAUACAUAGCCGGACAGAGGUAGACCCGGGGAACUGAAACAUCUUAGUACCCGGAGGAAGAGAAAGAAAAAUCGAUUCCCUGAGUAGCGGCGAGCGAAACGGGAAGAGCCCAAACCAGCUUCGGCUGGGGUUGUAGGACACCGAUGAGACCAAUCAUCGCGAGCAGAACGGUCUGGAAAGGCCGGCCAUAGGGGGUAACAGUCCCGUAUGCGAAGCGAUGGGCGGUUGCGGUGGAUCCUGAGUACGGCGGAACACGAGGAAUUCCGUCGGAAUCUGGGAGGACCAUCUCCCAAGGCUAAAUACUCCUUGGUGACCGAUAGUGAACCAGUACCGUGAGGGAAAGGUGAAAAGCACCCCGGAAGGGGAGUGAAAUAGAACCUGAAACCGUGUGCUUACAAGUAGUCAGAGCCCGUUAAUGGGUGAUGGCGUGCCUUUUGUAGAAUGAACCGGCGAGUUGCGAUUUCAUGCAAGGUUAAGCAGAGGAUGCGGAGCCGUAGCGAAAGCGAGUCUGAAUAGGGCGUUUAGUAUGGGGUUGCAGACCCGAAACCAGGUGAUCUACCCAUGUCCAGGCUGAAGUCCAGGUAACACUGGAUGGAGGGCCGAACCGACUUACGUUGAAAAGUGACCGGAUGAGGUGUGGGUAGCGGAGAAAUUCCAAUCGAACCUGGAGAUAGCUGGUUCUCUCCGAAAUAUAUUUAGGUAUAGCCUCGUGUUAGCAUCGUGGAGGUAGAGCACUGUUUGGACGAGGGGCCCAUCCCGGGUUACCGAAUUCAGACAAACUCCGAAUGCCACAGAUGUGAUGCACGGGAGUCAGACAGCGGGUGAUAAGGUCCGUUGUCGAGAGGGAAACAGCCCAGACCACCAGUUAAGGUCCCAAAAUAUAUGUUGAGUGGAAAAGGAUGUGGCGUUGCACAGACAACUAGGAUGUUGGCUUAGAAGCAGCCAUCAUUUAAAGAGUGCGUAAUAGCUCACUAGUCAAGUGACGCUGCGCCGAAAAUGUACCGGGGCUAAACAUAUUACCGAAACUGUGGAUCAAUUUAUUGAUGGUAGGAGAGCGUUCCAAUGGCAGGGAAGCAUGACCGUGAGGACAUGUGGAGCGAUUGGAAGUGAGAAUGCCGGUGUGAGUAGCGAAAGACGGGUGGGAAUCCCGUCCACCGAAUGACUAAGGUUUCCAGAGGAAGGCUCGUCCGCUCUGGGUUAGUCGGGACCUAAGCCGAGGCGGAAACGCGUAGGCGAUGGACAACAGGCAGAAAUUCCUGUACCGGUGAUAUGUGUUUGAGUGAAGUGGUGACGCAGGAGGAGAAGCAGAGCGUGCGAUUGGAAGAGCACGUCCAAGCAUCGAGUCGUCAGGGUAGGCAAAUCCGCCCUGUAUAACGACGAGGUGUGACGGGGAGCCGAAAUUUAGUAGGCGAAGCUGUGGGUUCACACUGCCAAGAAAAGCUGCUGGCGAAUAUAUCACUGCCCGUACCGCAAACCGACACAGGUAGUUGGGAAGAGAAUUCUAAGGUGAGCGAGCGAACUCUCGUUAAGGAACUCGGCAAAAUGACCCCGUAACUUCGGGAGAAGGGGUGCUCAUGAAAAUGAGCCGCAGUGAAUAGGCCCAAGCGACUGUUUAUCAAAAACACAGGUCUCUGCCAAACCGAAAGGUGACGUAUAGGGGCUGACGCCUGCCCGGUGCUGGAAGGUUAAGAGGAGCGCUCAGCGUAAGCGAAGGUGCGAAUCGAAGCCCCAGUAAACGGCGGCCGUAACUAUAACGGUCCUAAGGUAGCGAAAUUCCUUGUCAGGUAAGUUCUGACCCGCACGAAAGGCGUAACGAUUUGGGCACUGUCUCAACGAGAGGCUCGGUGAAAUCAUAGUACCUGUGAAGAUGCAGGUUACCCGCGACAGGACGGAAAGACCCCGUGGAGCUUUACUGUAGCCUGAUAUUGAAUCUUGACCUCACCUGUACAGGAUAGGUGGGAGCCAUUGAAGUGUGGACGCCAGUCUACAUGGAGGCACUGGUGGGAUACCACCCUGGUGAUGUUGAGAUUCUAACCCGCGCCCGUGAUCCGGGCGGGAGACAGUGUCAGGUGGACAGUUUGACUGGGGCGGUCGCCUCCUAAAGAGUAACGGAGGCGCUCAAAGGUUCCCUCAGAAUGGUUGGAAAUCAUUCAUAGAGUGUAAAGGUAUAAGGGAGCUUGACUGCGAGACAUACAGGUCGAGCAGGGUCGAAAGACGGACUUAGUGAUCCGGUGGUUCCGCAUGGAAGGGCCAUCGCUCAACGGAUAAAAGCUACCCCGGGGAUAACAGGCUUAUCUCCCCCAAGAGUUCACAUCGACGGGGAGGUUUGGCACCUCGAUGUCGGCUCAUCGCAUCCUGGGGCUGUAGUCGGUCCCAAGGGUUGGGCUGUUCGCCCAUUAAAGCGGUACGCGAGCUGGGUUCAGAACGUCGUGAGACAGUUCGGUCCCUAUCCGUCGUGGGCGUAGGAAAUUUGAGAGGCGCUGUCCUUAGUACGAGAGGACCGGGAUGGACAUACCACUGGUGGACCAGUUGUCGUGCCAACGGCAUCGCUGGGUAGCUAUGUAUGGCCGGGAUAAGUGCUGAAAGCAUCUAAGCAUGAAGCCCCCCUCAAGAUGAGAUUUCCCCAUUAGAUCCCUCAGAGAUGAUGAGGUGGAUAGGUUCGGCGUGUAAGUGUGGCGACACAUUCAGCGGACGAAUACUAAUCGAUCGAUGACUUAUUCAAUUAAUGAAAACCGUGUUGGUUUUCUGCGC